rnacentral:rRNA from 1 species
UACGGGGGGGGCAAGCGUUGUUCGGAAUUACUGGGCAUAAAGGGCUCGUAGGCGGCCAACUAAGUCGGACGUGAAAUCCCCAGGCUCAACCUGGGAACUGCGUCCGAUACUGGAUGGCUUGAAUCCGGGAGAGGGAUGCAGAAUUCCAGGUGUAGCGGUGAAAUGCGUAGAUAUCAAGAGGAACACCUGAGGUGAAGACGGGUUGCUGGGCUGACACUGACGCUGAGGCGCGAAAGCCAGGGGAGCAAACGGG